GUUCUGAUGAGGGAUGUUGAUAAUGCAGGAGGCUGGGGGCUGAUAGACUUAAGCUACUUUGAAUAUCAUAUCAUCUUCACUUAGGAGAUGAGGAAAUUCGGGUUCAGAAAGUUUAUGUGACUUACCUCGAGUCAUACAGCCAGUGUUGGGAGCAGAGAGCACGUGGAAAAUUCUUGCCUGCUUUUCAACAUCCACCCAAGAAGUAAUCAUUGGGCAAAACUGACCACCAGGCCUCAUCUCACUGCAAGGGGGCUGAAGAAUGUGAGGAAGCAAAUGAAUACUGAAAGCAAGAUAUACUUUGCCACAGAACUCUUCUAAAUGCAGCUAAACCUUCCCACAGACAGAAGACAAAGCUCCAGCUGGCAGAGAAAGAUGAAUGUGAGAGAAGGAAAAGUUUUAUCUAAGCCUGGAACCCAAGAAGAGAACCUCUGCCUGCCCAAAUCAGAUCAACACAAAUCUAUAUUUUCAAAAAACCUAAAGCAAGGAAAAUGUUAGCUUUAUAAACUCCACUUUGGAAAAGUUUUAGAACAGACCUUAUUAUAGAGUUCCACUAAGGCACCUGGUAUGGUAUUUCAUAUGGAAUUUGAUUCACAGAACUUUUAAUUUCAUCAGUAAAAUGUUAUUAACAACUCCCAUCUUGUAAGGCAUCAAAAGUUUUUAAAACAUGGUGUCCAAUCAAAAUUACAUCUGUCUGUAGGUUCCUUAAGGUUCUCCAAAUCACUAGGAAUACAGAGGCCCCUGUCUGUUCAAAUCAGGAAAAUGUGAGACCCUUUUCAUAAAGGAGAAACUGACAUUAGAGUAAGAAUUGGAGCCCAGACCUGGGAAGUUGUCAACCCUCUCUAUGGCCAAGAGGAAGAAGUGUGUGGGACCUGGUCAGUUACAGAACUUUUUCAGUUCUGAAUCUCACAUCCUUUCUUCAGUAGGCAUCCAUAGAAGGGAAUUGCUUCUGUGAGCGAGAGGCCAGGGUUCAUUCAAGGAGCAAACUCUCUUCCUCUUUUAUCUUGUCCAGGGAUGCCCAAAGGACCUGCCCUCUGCUGAUAUCUACAAAAGAUGAUAUUUUCAAAAUGUCCAAGAGUCUCUGAUCUGUGUGUUCAGCAGGAUAACCAAGCUACUGCCUAUCAGAGCAGGGGGCCUAACACCCCUUCCAUUACUGGUUGGCUCUGAUUAUCUUGAGGCUGCCAUGCUUUGAAGAAGUCAAACCACAUAGAGAAAUCAUCAGUGUUGGCCCCAGUGCCAAAGGUGUGAGUGAGGAGCCUUCAGACAACUCCAGCCCCCAUCCCCUGCCUGGGAGCCCACUCAGCUGGAGCACCAGACAGCAUGUGCAGGCCCUCCCUGCCAUGCCUUUUCUACUCCCACCCUACAGAAUCUGGGAGCACUGGACGUGG
ensembl:lncRNA